GACGAACGCUGGCGGCGUGCUUAACACAUGCAAGUCGAACGGAAAGGCCCUGCUUUUGUGGGGUGCUCGAGUGGCGAACGGGUGAGUAACACGUGAGUAACCUGCCCUUGACUUUGGGAUAACUUCAGGAAACUGGGGCUAAUACCGGAUAGGAGCUCCUGCUGCAUGGUGGGGGUUGGAAAGUUUCGGCGGUUGGGGAUGGACUCGCGGCUUAUCAGCUUGUUGGUGGGGUAGUGGCUUACCAAGGCUUUGACGGGUAGCCGGCCUGAGAGGGUGACCGGCCACAGUGGGACUGAGAUACGGCCCAGACUCCUACGGGAGGCAGCAGUGGGGAAUAUUGCACAAUGGGCGGAAGCCUGAUGCAGCAACGCCGCGUGCGGGAUGACGGCCUUCGGGUUGUAAACCGCUUUCGCCUGUGACGAAGCGUGAGUGACGGUAAGGGGUAAAGAAGCACCGGCUAACUACG
rnacentral:rRNA from 1 species